GAGUUUGAUCCUGGCUCAGAACGAACGCUGGCGGCGUGCUUAACACAUGCAAGUCGAACGUGAUUGAGAGCUUGCUCUGAUGAAAGUGGCGCACGGGUGAGUAACGCGUGGAUAACCUGCCCUGGUAUCUGGGAUAACAUCUCGAAAGGGGUGCUAAUACCGGAUAAGCCUACGGGAUCUUCGGAUUCUGCAGGAAAAGGAGGCCUCUAUUUAUAAGCUUCCGUAUCAUGAUGGGUCCGCGUACCAUUAGCUAGUUGGUGGGGUAAUGGCCUACCAAGGCGACGAUGGUUAGCUGGUCUGAGAGGAUGAUCAGCCACACUGGAACUGAGACACGGUCCAGACUCCUACGGGAGGCAGCAGUGGGGAAUUUUGCGCAAUGGGGGAAACCCUGACGCAGCAACGCCGCGUGAGUGAUGAAGGCUUUCGGGUCGUAAAGCUCUGUCAGAGGGGAAGAAAUGAAACGUGCUAAUAUCACGUUUUCUUGACGGUACCCUCAAAGGAAGCACCGGCUAACUCCGUGCCAGCAGCCGCGGUAAUAC
rnacentral:rRNA from 1 species